UGACAGCAAUUCAGUUAGGAGCGUAACCUAGCGCGGGAUACUGAUAUCCUUGUUACCUGGUACCGACGCGCAGAAUUUCAGGGAAACGGCAGCAUUACUUCUAAUGGAAAGGAGAGCAAACAUUCGAGAAAGAGAGUUAAAAGUGUCUGAAACUGCUGAACGGGAAGCGAUUGAAACUUUUGUUUCUCCAGGGUGCCGGUGGUCCUCAGUAUCCUUUUUUUUAAUUCUCCGCCUUAGGGUUUGAGAGUUUUGCUGUUACUGUUUCCGACUCUGAUCCCUGGCGCUUCCUCAGCACCAGUGGUCACCUGACCAUUGUUCCCAAGGAAGGUAGGUCCCUCGUGGGCUGUUAUAGCCUUGGGUUUGGUUCCUUAAGGCGUCUGCUGACGUGUGUUUUCCGCGUUCGUCGGCUCCACUUUCGAGUACCGUCGUUUUGCGGUGCUGUCCCUAACGGUUUCAACCGACCCGUCUUGAAACACGCACCAAGGAGUCUAACAUAUGUGCGAGUAUGCGGGCGGCAACCCUGUAUGCACAAUGAAAGUGAGAGUAGGNCCCUGUAUGCACAAUGAAAGUGAGAGUAGGGAGAGUUUUGCUUUUUGCUUUUCUCGCACCUACGACCGACAACGAACUCUGUGAGAGGUUUGAGUUGUAGCACAUGUGUUAGGACCCGAAAAAUGGUGAACUAUGCCUGAGUACGGUGAAGUCAGGCGAAAGCCUGAUGGAGGCUCGUAGCGAUACUGACGUGCAAAUUGUUCGUCAAACUUGGGUAUAGGGGCGAAACAGUAAUCGAGCCGUCUAGUAGCUGGUUUCUUCCGAAGUUUCUCUCAGAAUAGCUGGAGUUCUAUUAGUUUUAUCAGAUAAAGCGAAUGAUUAGAGGCCUCGGGGGCGCGUUGCCCUCGACCUAUUCUCAAAUUUUAAAUGGGUAAGAUCAAGUUGUUACUUCAUUGAACUGCUGGGGUUAAUAUGAACUCCAAGUGGGCCAUUUUUGGUAAGCAGAACUGGCAAUGAGGGAUGCUCCUAACGCUGGGCUAAGGUGCCUAAAUACUCGCUCAUCAGACGCCAUAAAAGGUGUCGGUUCAUUUUGACAGCAGGACGGUGGUCAUGGAAGUCGAAAUCCGCGAAGAAGUGUGUAACAACUUACCUGCCGAAUGAACCAGCCCUGAAAAUGGAUGGCGCUGCAGCGGAUUACCGAUACCAGGCCAUUAUCGCAAGUCUUUGUACACUGGACUUUUUGCGGUCAUGAGUAGGAAGACGUGGGGAUCGUAGCGAAGCAUUCGGCGUGAGCCUGUGUGGAACGGUCUCUAGCUUUUUGCCUGGUACCGACGCGCAGAAUU
rnacentral:ncRNA from 1 species